rnacentral:rRNA from 1 species
GGGCCCGCACAAGCGGUGGAGCAUGUGGUUUAAUUCGACGCAACGCGAAGAACCUUACCAGGUUUUGACAUCCUCUGACCACCCAAGAGAUUGGGUUUUCAAUCUUCGGAUUGACAGAGAGACAGGUGGUGCAUGGUUGUCGUCAGCUCGUGUCGUGAGAUGUUGGGUUAAGUCCCGCAACGAGCGCAACCCUUAUUCUUAGUUGCCAGCAUGAGAGAUGGGCACUCUAAGGAGACUGCCGGUGACAAACCGGAGGAAGGUGGGGAUGACGUCAAAUCAUCAUGCCCUUUAUGACCUGGGCGACACACGUGCUACAAUGGCCUGUACAAAGGGUAGCGAAGCCGUGAGGUGGAGCCAAUCCCAAAAAGCAGGUCUCAGUUCGGAUUGCAGGCUGCAACUCGCCUGCAUGAAGUCGGAAUCGCUAGUAAUCGCGGAUCAGCACGCCGCGGUGAAUACGUUCCCGGGCCUU